rnacentral:lncRNA from 1 species
AAAAAAGCAUUUGACAAUUUUUAGAUCUAAGCACAAAAGAAAGCAGAGAUCCAAGCAACACCAAAGAAACAGGAAAAUAAAAGUUGAAAUAUCAAGAAUCAAAAUCUAAAACAAAAGGUGAUAUUACAUUAUUAUUAUUUUCUUUCUAUUUAUUAUUUUUUUCUUUUUUAUUUUAUUUUCGAAUUUACUUACCUUUACAUACAAUAUAUCAUAAGGACAUAAAAAAAUAAAAAAAGCAAAAAAUGUACCUUCGGAAAUCUGGCCACCGCACGCGGUGGCCGGCGACGGCGGUGGUCCACGGUGGCGACCAGACUGAAACCUCGCCGGAGCAAUGGCCCUUGCAGAGAACAAAAAAGGAAGAAAGGAAAUUUUUUUUAAAGAGGAGAAGAAAUGAACUUAAAAAAAAAUUUGGGGUUUAUAUAGGCCACCAAAACGAUGUCGUUUUGGGAUUGGCCUUAAACACCCAAAACGACGCAGUUUUAUUCCAUACCUGUGCGACCCAACCCGCCUUAACUGAGAUCCGCGCGAUUUUGCUAUAGUGGGUUAUUUGCCAAAUAAGUCCUUCCGUUUUUAAUUCAGUUUGCAAUCAUUUUUUUGUUUAUCUAAAUUUAUACUUAAUAAUUUGUUUCAGUGCUCAAUUUAAUCCUUUUUUUUAUUAUUUAACUAUUUUACUGUUAAAUUAGUUAAUUUUAUUAUUUUUGUUAUUAUUUGUGCUAUUAUUAGUAUUUUUCAUGUAUAUAUUAUAUUGUCGUUAUCAUUACUAUUAUUAAAUAUUCUUAUUAUUACUAUUAUUUUUAUUCCUUUUAUUAUUGUUUAUUAUCAAUAUUUAUUAUUAUUGCUAUUAUUGCUAUUAUAUCCUAAUUUAUAUUCGUCUUAUCUAAUUCUAUUUAUCUCUUUAUAUUUAUGUUUAUAUUUUAUGUAUUAUACCUAUCUUUAUAUUUACGCAUGAACAUUACUAUUCUACUAUUAUUUUUUUUUAUUUUCAUUGGCAUUUUUACUUAUUAUCAUUUUGUAUCUUUAUUAACAUUAUUACUAUUAUUAUUUUACUAUCCUAUUUUUCUUAUCACAAUUUUUAUAACUUAACAUGCUAUUAUUACUUUUAUUUUUAUUUUUUAUUACCAUUAUUGUUAUUGUACUUAUAUCUAUAUGUAUUUUGUUUUAAUACCAUUAUUAUUACUACUUCCAUUAUUAUUACUAUUUCCAUUAUUUUUACGUAAAAAUUUUGCUUCUCCAAGGCUAGGUCUACCUUUUCAUAAUAAUUUUUAGAGUGCCUAUAUACUCAACCAUUAAAUAUAAAUAUUUUAAGAAAUAAUAUAAAUUUUAUUUUACCCUUUAACAACUUAUAAUUUAAUUUAAUGUUUUAUCAAUCUCCAGCAUAGAAUUAUAUAUAUUUUUUAUAAUGUGUUAAAAGCAAUGGAGAAAGCUAAAAAUUUUGUUUAAGGAAUCGAGAAAAAAUUAUAAAAUUUGGGUGCGAAAACUAAAAAUUUUGUAUUAAAAAUACUUAAAUGAAAUUAUUAAUUUUCUAAAAGGGCUCAAAUUUAAAUUUUCCCAUUUAAUCACAGGUUUAAAAUGACUAAAUUGAUUUUUUUUUAAUUUUGAAGAGGGGAUAUAAAGCAAUUUUCCCACUUAAUUAACGAGGCCAAGACUCAUUCUGUCCAUUUUGACUAUGUCCCUAGUUAAAAAGUAAGGGUUAUCGAAGAAUCAAACUCGAAAUCAAUAACUUAAACACAAAUGAUUUGCAACUCUGUCAGAUAUUGGAAGGAGCAAACAGCUCUUAGUCAUAAAUUUCUUCUUCAGUACAUAUUACAAGAAUCAACUAAGACAUCAUUAAUUUCUUCAACUAUAUAACUACAUACAUUAAUUUAUUCUCCUUGCUCUUCAUGCUUUUAUUCAUGGUGACAUACAGCACCACAUUUACUUGAUCCUGCACAAACAGACAAACAAAAUCAAUGAAUCGGUUUCAUAAAUCAAACACCAUGAUUUUCUUUCUCUUUUUGCAAAAAUAAACGGAAAGAAAAAAAAAGGUUAAUUACGUGUCGCAGUUAAUGGUAGGAUCAAAGGAAAUGGCGACAGUAACACCGCACAACUGAGGAAGCUGGUUAGCUUUGUCGGGAUCAACACCUUCACUACGACUAGCUGCCUCGAGACAACGACACAAGUCCUUGCGAAUUGCAGUGGUGGUAGCGGCGGAGUUGAUA